rnacentral:piRNA from 1 species
UCUCAGACAGGCUGAGGAAUAACCUUUAGA